UGUAGUGAGGUGAAACGUAGCAAGCGAAAAGUAACAAGUAACAAGUAGUAGCAAUGGUGCAGCAAGUGGUUCAAUCCCUUUUGUAACAAGGGACAAGCCUGAACAAAGUCUUAUAAGAGGAAAAACGCUUCCGAGGACACACGGGAAUUUCUGUCAUGCUAGUUUCAUCAUGUUCAUAUGAUUCGCGUCCGUUACUUUGAUAGUUUGAUAUGUGGGUGGACCGGCGCUUGGGUACUGCCCUUACUUGGACAAGCAUCACACUUAUGAUUAACCCCUCUCGCAAGCAUCCGCAACUACGAAAGAAGAAUUAAGACAACGUCUAACCAUAGCAUUAAACUAGUGAAUCCAAAUCAGCCCCUUACGAAGCAACACAUAGACUGGGGUUUAAGCUUCUGUCACUCCAGCAACCCAUCAUCUACUUACUACUCCCCAAUGCCUUCCUCUAGGCCCAAAUAUGGUGAAGUGUUAUCUAGUCGAUGUUCACAUAACACCAUUAGAGGAAAAACGACAUACAACAUAUCAAAAUACCGAACGAAUACCACACUCACAUGACUAUUAUUAGCAUGACUUAUCCCAUGUC
rnacentral:lncRNA from 1 species